GGGUCUAUAGCUCAGUGGUAGAGCAAUUGACUGCAGAUCAAUAGGUCGCCGGUUCGAACCCGGUUGGGCCCU
rfam:Gossypium raimondii chromosome 4, whole genome shotgun sequence.